CUGCGGUGAUGGCGUUUCUUAGGACACCUUUGGAUUAAUCAUGAAAACAACUACCCUCUGAGCAGC
ensembl:snoRNA SNORD58 Small nucleolar RNA SNORD58